rnacentral:rRNA from 1 species
CCUAGCCCUUCAGAGGGGGACAACAGUUGGAAACGACUGCUAAUACCGCAUACGAUCCAAUCUCGGCAUCGAGACUGGAUGAAAGGUGGCCUCUAUUUAUAAGCUAUCACUGAAGGAGGGGAUUGCGUCUGGUUAGCUAGUUGGAGGGGUAACGGCCCACCAAGGCGAUGAUCAGUAGCCGGUCUGAGAGGAUGAACGGCCACAUUGGGACUGAGACACGGCCCAG